rnacentral:lncRNA from 1 species
AUGGAUUCUGGAUCCUGGAGGAAUUCCGGAUCCUGGGUGGAUUCCGGAUCCUGGGUGGAUUCCGGAUCCUCUGGGAAUUCUCUGAAUCUCAGGGAUUCCCUUUUCCCAUCCUCUGGAACUGCUGGGACCCCCCUGGAUCUCCCAUUCUCAUUCCUGGGUGGAUUCCAGAUCCUGGAGGAAUUCUGGAUCCUGGAUGGAUUCCAGAUCCUGGAUGGAUUCCGGAUCCUCUGGGAUCCCUCUGGGAUUGAGGAGCCUCUGGGAUUGAAACCCCUUGGGAAUCUUUCCACUCUCAGGGAUUCCUUUUUCCCACCCUCUGGAGCUGCUGGGACCCCCCUGGGUCUUUUCUCCUCAUUCCUGGGUGGAUUCCAGAUCCUGGAUGGAUUCUGGAUCCUGGAGGAAUUCCAGAUCCUGGAGGAAUUCCGGAUCCUGGAGGAAUUCUGGAUCCUGGAGGAAUUCCGGAUCCUCUGGGAAUUCUCUGAACCUCAGGGAUCCCCUUUUCCCACCCUCUGGAACUGCUCAGACCCUCCUGGAUCUCCCCUCCUUGUUCCUGGGUGGAUUCCGGAUCCUGGAGGAAUUCCAGAUCCUCUGGGAUUGAGGGUCCUUGGGAAUUCUCUGAAUCUCAGGGAUUCCUUUCCCCCCCCCCCCGGCUCUGGAGCUCCCUGGAUGCCCAGAUGGGAUCGGGAAUGGCGAUUCCCGGGAAUUGCAGCUCCUCAGGAAUCUCCUUAUCCCGCCCUUGGGAAUUCCCGGCUCUCAGGAAUUCCCUUUUCCCACCGCUCUUCUCCCCAUCCCUGGUGGCUCCUCCACGGGAUCCCUCGGGAAUUUCCUUUUGCCGGGAAAAGAGAUCCCGGCCUGUUCCAGCUUCCCGGCAGCUCCGGAGCCGCAUUCCCAGAAAAUCAGCGGGAUCCAGACCUCGGAACGCGCGGCUCCCGCGGGAAUCGUUGGGAAUUUUCAGCCCCAAAACCGCUGGGAAGUGAUGGGGGUGGGACAGAGAGCGGGAUCCAACCCCAGAAUCCCAAAACCCCCGGAAUUCCCAUCAAAACCCCGGGAACCGGGAGCGGCACCGGGCCGGGAAUUCACCGGGAACCGGGAGCGGCACCGGGCCGGGAAUUCACCGGGANAUUCCAGAUCCUGGAUGGAUUCCGGAUCCUCUGGGAUCCCUCUGGGAUUGAGGAGCCUCUGGGAUUGAAACCCCUUGGGAAUCUUUCCACUCUCAGGGAUUCCUUUUUCCCACCCUCUGGAGCUGCUGGGACCCCCCUGGGUCUUUUCUCCUCAUUCCUGGGUGGAUUCCAGAUCCUGGAUGGAUUCUGGAUCCUGGAGGAAUUCCAGAUCCUGGAGGAAUUCCGGAUCCUGGAGGAAUUCUGGAUCCUGGAGGAAUUCCGGAUCCUCUGGGAAUUCUCUGAACCUCAGGGAUCCCCUUUUCCCACCCUCUGGAACUGCUCAGACCCUCCUGGAUCUCCCCUCCUUGUUCCUGGGUGGAUUCCGGAUCCUGGAGGAAUUCCAGAUCCUCUGGGAUUGAGGGUCCUUGGGAAUUCUCUGAAUCUCAGGGAUUCCUUUCCCCCCCCCCCCGGCUCUGGAGCUCCCUGGAUGCCCAGAUGGGAUCGGGAAUGGCGAUUCCCGGGAAUUGCAGCUCCUCAGGAAUCUCCUUAUCCCGCCCUUGGGAAUUCCCGGCUCUCAGGAAUUCCCUUUUCCCACCGCUCUUCUCCCCAUCCCUGGUGGCUCCUCCACGGGAUCCCUCGGGAAUUUCCUUUUGCCGGGAAAAGAGAUCCCGGCCUGUUCCAGCUUCCCGGCAGCUCCGGAGCCGCAUUCCCAGAAAAUCAGCGGGAUCCAGACCUCGGAACGCGCGGCUCCCGCGGGAAUCGUUGGGAAUUUUCAGCCCCAAAACCGCUGGGAAGUGAUGGGGGUGGGACAGAGAGCGGGAUCCAACCCCAGAAUCCCAAAACCCCCGGAAUUCCCAUCAAAACCCCGGGAACCGGGAGCGGCACCGGGCCGGGAAUUCACCGGGAACCGGGAGCGGCACCGGGCCGGGAAUUCACCGGGAACCGGGAGCGGCACCGGGCCGGGAAUUCACCGGGAGCGGCACCGGGAGCGGCACCGGGCCGGGCACGGCCAGAAACACCCGGCCGCCCUUCCCCGGGCUGCUUUUAG